rnacentral:rRNA from 1 species
GUUGUAUAGUUAAGUGACUAAGCGUACAAGGUGGAUGCCUUGGCAAUCAGAGGCGAAGAAGGACGUGCUAAUCUGCGAAAAGCUUGGAUGAGUCGAUAAGAGGCGUUUAAUCCAAGAUAUCCGAAUGGGGAAACCCAGUAGAUGAAGAAUCUACUAUCAACAAGUGAAUUCAUAGCUUGUUGAGGCAAACCGGGAGAACUGAAACAUCUAAGUACCCCGAGGAAAAGAAAUCAACCGAGAUUUCGUCAGUAGCGGCGAGCGAAAGCGAAAGAGCCAGUAAGUGAUAGCAGUAUAGUGAGGAGAAUGUGUUGGGAAGCACAAUCAAAGAGGGUGAUAAUCCCGUAUCUAAAAACCAUAUUGUGGUACUAAGCUAACGAGAAGUAGGGCGGGACACGUGAUAUCCUGUUUGAAGAAGGGGGGACCAUCCUCCAAGGCUAAAUACUCCUGAUUGACCGAUAGUGAACCAGUACUGUGAAGGAAAGGCGAAAAGAACCCCGGUGAGGGGAGUGAAAUAGAACCUGAAACCUUGUACGUACAAGCAGUGGGAGCC